GCUGCAGUUUCCAAACAUGCAAAAGAGAUGACACGCUGAAAUGAAAAAAAUAAUUACAAAACUUAACAAUAACGAGCGCGCGUUCACACGAGCCACCGUGCUGCUUAUUCAAGAAGAUGGAAAAAUCGAAGUAACGUCAGGUUACGAGGCGUACACAAAGAAGAACGGAUGUAUUUAUAGACACUUUCUCAAUGAAUACCAAAUAAGAUGCUAUAUUGAACCAAUGAUGACCGACACAAUAAACAGGGAGCGAAAAUGUAUGCAAAUCAAAGGGCAGAUGUAGCAACCAACGUAGGGGAAACUGAAGAGAACCGCGAGGAUGUUGAUGAAGAAGAGGAAGAAAAUGAAACUAAUGAUCCAGACGACGAGCAUGAGAAUGAAAAUGAAGACAACGAAAAAAUGGACACAUCAUUCGACAAUGACAACAACGGAAAUAUGGAGUUUGUAUAUGCUGAAGAUGAGGAAAACACUCAUGAUGUGAGUGAAAGGGAGAAACUAAACGAACACCAUUUUACUGACGAAGAACACAUCUGCGGGGAUGAAGAAAUUGAAAUUGAAGAGAAGUGAAGGAACGAGUUCAUAAGACUUCAAAUGGAGCAGAUCGAAAGAAAUAUUAAGGCUAAGAAAUGCUUGAAAAUAUGAAGAGAAUGAAGAUGCAGAAAAGAAAAUGAAGGAUGAAAUAAAGACUGGAGAGCAAAACCAAGAUACAUUAUUCGCAGAUGCGGAACAAGAGUAUAUUAAUGUCUUUGGAGAUGACAAAAUUGAUCCCGACGAUGAAAUAUUGACUUCUACCUGGCCUGACGAAUGGGACGAUUUAGAGAUGUCGGCAGAGAGAACCGUCAGUAAUAGACGCGGAAAGAGGACGCACAGAAAAUAUAAAGAACGACAAAACGGAAGGAAGGGAAGAAGAUGAACAAAAUUGGCUUCUGGCAGGUCAUUGAUAUAUGUCAGAAACAGACAGGGUCCGACAACAGAACCCUGAGGGACACCGGAUAACACGGGCAAUUUGUCAGAAAUUUGACCUUCAACCGCAACCCUUUGGCUGCGGUUGCCCAGGAAUGACCUAAUCUAUGUGGUGACACGACAGUCAAUCCCCAUGUGAUGUAACUUGUGUAUUCGAUUGCGAUGGUCGAUUUUGUCGAAGGCCUUCGAAAUAUCCGUCACAAUGACGUCAGUCUGUUGUCCACUGUCUAGGCUGUCAAGGGCUUCCUGGGAAAAAAACUCAGCAGCUGAGUUUCGCAACUACGUUUAGUCCGGAAACCAUGUUGAAAGGGACUGAGGAUAUCAUUCUGAAAGAAAGUCAUCAUGUUUGAGACAAUUAUAUGCUCCAUAAGUUUAGAAGAGGUGCAAGUGAGGGAUAUCGGUCUGUAGUUGCUAGCUUUAGAUUUAUGACCAUUUUUUACGAUGCUGCAAAGCAGCUCGUCUAAGUUAUCAUACCAUGAAAAAAUUCUUAACAACGGCGACCUAAGUAAAAGACCGAGCCAGUCCGAUUGAGAUAGCUCGAUUUUUCUAAUCGGCAUACCUCGCUGAUAAUUGUUGAUAAAGGUAUAGGAAGCUCAGCUAUAAAUAGGACAGCAUAUUAUGGGAAAAAGUUUUAAUAAUAGUUUGAAAACGUCAAUUUAUAAUCAGUUAUAUUCAAUCCAUUAUAUGUUUAUAGAUCAAUGAAACAACUAUGUAUUUUCUGUAUUGUAUUUGAUAUUUGCCGUGAUUCAGUAAAUAAAUUGCGAAUUAAAACGUGUAUAAUUAACUUUUAACGCGAUCAUGAGUGUAAAGAAAACGAAUUAUUUCGAACCUGCCAUUUGUAAACGUUGUAGCGACUAUGGUACAUAAACAGCAUAAU